GGUAACCUACAAGACUUGCAAGUUGGUGACCUCAACUUGAAUACUUUCCUCUUCACCUUUUCUGAUGCCAACCUUGCUACGAGAAUCUUGGCUGAGGGUCCCUGGAACAUCAUGGGAAACUUGCUUAGUCUACAGUUCUGGGACCCUCAGAUCUCAAUGGCUGAAGUGCACUUUAACUUGGUACCUUUUUGGACUCAGUUCCAUGGGUUACCAAUGGAAUUUAUGUCAUUGACAAAUGUCUCCAAGCUUGCUGCUGCAGUUGGGAAUCUUCUGGAAAUAGAGGACCCAAAGAUGAAGGGCUGCCUUUUGCGAACU
rnacentral:lncRNA from 1 species